GGAGGAGUGGCUGAGUGGCCGAAAGCAGCGGUCUUGAAAACCGCCGUCCACGCAAGUGGACCGUAGGUUCGAAUCCUACCUCCUCCG
rnacentral:tRNA from 1 species